rnacentral:rRNA from 1 species
CCCUUAGAUGUCCUGGGCCGCACGCGCGCUACACUGAACGGAUCAGCGCGUUUUCCCUUCCCGAGAGGGACGGGUAACCUGCUGAACCCCGUUCGUGGUAGGGAUCGGGGCUUGCAAUUAUUCCCCGUGAACCAGGAAUGCCCAGUAUGUGCAAGUCAUAAGCUUGCGUUGAUUACGUCCCUGCCCUUUGUACACACCGCCCGUCGCUACUACCGAUUGAACGUUUUAGUGAGGUACUCGGACUGAGCCUCAGAAGAUUCACGUCUUUUGUGCUGCUCGGGAAGAUUCCCAAACUUGAGCGUUUAGAGGAAGUAAAAGUCGUAACA